rnacentral:rRNA from 1 species
CUCGUAGGUGGUUUGUCGCGUUGUUCGUGAAAACUCACAGCUUAACUGUGGGCGUGCGGGCGAUACGGGCAGACUAGAGUACUGCAGGGGAGACUGGAAUUCCUGGUGUAGCGGUGGAAUGUGCAGAUAUCAGGAGGAACACCGGUGGCGAAGGCGGGUCUCUGGGCAGUAACUGACGCUGAGGAGCGAAAGCGUGGGUAGCGAACA